rnacentral:misc_RNA from 1 species
UUUGAAAUUCUCAUUUUUCGCUCCCAAACAAUGAUUGAUUUCAAAUUCGAGAUGCGUUUUCUCUUCUUCUACAAUUCUCUCAGUAACCAAACAGUCCCUUAUCAUCGUUAAACCCCCUUAAACCUCACAAUACCAUCUGAUUCUUGUUUUGGUGUUCCUGUGAGGGUAGUAUUUAUGGGCUACAACGCUUUUGUACUGGUCAGCUUAAAUGCAGGAGGCUUCAUCUCUGAAGGAUAAAGUGACUGCUGUAGAUAGGCAUUUUGAACGAAUUUGUGAGUCCUGGAUUGGUCAGUCAGAUUUCAGCCAUAGCUUCUGUCAGAAUAAGUGGGAAUGAUGAUUUUUGAGGUUUCAGAUGGAUGAUACAGUGUGCUUCUAGAUGACAGCAGUAUCGGAUUAGCAUAUCUUAAUGGAAUGGUUUUAUCUCUUAGGUAAUGCUUGUAUCUUGACUUGAUAUUGUUGAAAGUUUGACAGAAUUUUUGUUGUUAAUUUGAAUUUUGUGAAUCCUCUGCUAUACGUUUUUCUUUAACUAAAUUUUUUUGAAUUAAAUAUUUGUUUUGGUGCUAUUCGUUGGACUAAACUUACUAAAUCAUGGCUUAAAAUCACUAACUGAAUAAGGAAAAAGAAUUAACAAUACCACAUAGUCAACAGUUGCUCUAGAGGAUUUGAACGAUUAUACUGAAUUGUCACCUUUAUGGAACAAGUGCUGGUGUAGCACUGCGCUAUUAGGCAAUGCUUUCAAUCACUAUGAAAAAGAGAAUAUAGAAAAACCAACUCUAAUCUGCUGUGCAUUGCAUCCCUCCCCCUCAAACAACUAAGUCAAUGAUCAUUCAUCUCCCCCUUAGCUCCAUCAGAAGAAGAGUUAUUUGCACAUGUCAAAACUAUACAAUUUAUCUGUCUUACUCUGACUAGCUAGAGUGGGACAGACCAUUGCUUUCCACUACAUCUCAUCUAUGCUGUGUUUAUAUCAAAAAGAUGGAUUUCCUGAAGAGAGACACCACCCUCCCCUUAAUUAUGUGAUGUCUUAGCUCAUUUUUCUAAUCAUUCCAUUGAACUUCCUAUCCGUGGUUCCUUUCCAUUGUCAAUUACUUUUUUUCUCAUAGCAAGGAAAAUACAGAUAGGAGUGAAAUGGAGAAGCACAUAUGGCAACAUAUUGCCAUGGUAGUUUUACGGUUACUUUAAAGAACUUGAACUUUAUAACAUUUAUGUAUUUUAUCUCAUAAAUUUUACGUAUAGGGAUACAUGUUUUUCGUAAGGUAAUUACUUUAUAAAAAAUUAUUAGAUUAAUAACAAAUAAUGACACUUUAU